rnacentral:lncRNA from 10 species
ACGAAUUGUUGGAGUUGGCAGACUAGAGAAGGUGAGCUGGACAGUGAAGCCUGCUCAGUCUAGACUUACAUGAGAGACUACUCAAUGACUCUCACAGAAAAGAGAUCUUCCCAAGGUGACAUCUUCUCCUCCUAAGCCAAUAAGGUCAUCUUACUCACAGUCCACUUCCAGGAACUGACCCCAAAUGGACAGAAUCUACUUAUAUCAUGGCACAGCUGUCAACUUCUCUUGCUAAAGAAGAGAAUAACGCUCACAAAAUUGCCCCAGAUGGCGGUGCAACAUUUUUGGGCCAAGUACUACAACUGAAAAGCAUGAACAGAGUUUUACCAGCGGGUUACAGGUUUGUUUAUAUGAAAAUUGCACUCCCUGUUUAUUUCUAAUAGGGAAAAUAUUUCUGAUGGUAUAUGAUUCCUAAAUGAAAUGAUGCUAACAAAUGUUCACAUAUUUUGUGAGGGAGAACACAGCAAAUUGUAAGAUAUGAUCUGCAGAUAUCAAACUCAUUUUCUUUACUGGAAAACAGGUCUGACUGCAUGGCACGAUUAUGUUGGGAAAAAUGCAGCUAUAGUUCUCUUCAUUUGGAACACGAACGUAUAUCACAAAGCUAACCAGAUCACAUUCAUUCAGUAGCAAACACAAAUCAACUGUGGCUAGCAAAUGUGUGUACAAAAUACAUUGACAUCAAUACCAGUUUGGUGCUUUCUUGUGAUCAAAUCCAGGGAAAUAGAAAUCAGCCAUCUAAAACUUAACCACUUGCAAAAGAGCAUUUAUGUUACCAGCAGUUUAAAGGAAAUGAAUGUUCAUUGAAGAGCAGCCUAUGCUGAACUCUCAUUUUUACAUGUAUUCAACUAUAUAUAUGCUGGCUCAUCAUUUUAAAACUAUUAUCAGCCAGGUGCAGUGGCUCACGCCUGUAAGCAUUUUGAGAGGCUGAGGUGGGUGGAUCAUGAGGUCAGGAGAUCGAGACCAUCCUGGCUAACACGGUGAAACCCCAUCUCUACUAAAAAUACAAAAAAUUAGCUAGGCAUGGUGGCGGGUGCCUGUAGUCCCAGCUACUUGGGAGGUUGAGGCAAGAGAAUCACUUGAACCCAGGAGGCAGAGGUUGCAGUGAGCCGACAUGCGCCACUGCACUCCAGCCUGGGUGACAGAGUGAGACUCCAUCUCAAAAACAAACAAACAAACAAGCAAACAAAAAAAUUAUAUUAUCAUUUAUUAAAUGUGAUUAGGUAGCUCUGGAUCCUUGGUCUGUUAUUUUUUUUAAGGCAUAAUAAGACCAGGACUUAAAAAAAAACACCCUGUAAAAUGUACGCUUUUUAAGAAAUAAUAGAAGUCACUUUUAUUCUAACAUGCUAUCUUUAUUGAAAUAUUUUAAACAUUUAUUGCAAAAACAAUA